rnacentral:rRNA from 1 species
ACGCUGGCGGCGUGCCUAAUACAUGCAAGUCGAACGCUUCUUUCCUCCCGAGUGCUUGCACUCAACUGGAAAGAGGAGUGGCGGACGGGUGAGUAACACGUGGGUAACCUACCCAUCAGAGGGGGAUAACACUUGGAAACAGGUGCUAAUACCGCAUAACAGUUUAUGCCGCAUGGCAUAAGAGUGAAAGGCGCUUUCGGGUGUCGCUGAUGGAUGGACCCGCGGUGCAUUAGCCAGUUGGUGAGGUAACGGCUCACCAAGGCCACGAUGCAUAGCCGACCUGAGAGGGUGAUCGGCCACACUGGGACUGAGACACGGCCCAGACUCCUACGGGAGGCAGCAGUAGGGAAUCUUCGGCAAUGGACGAAAGUCUGACCGAGCAACGCCGCGUGAGUGAAGAAGGUUUUCGGAUCGUAAAACUCUGUUGUUAGAGAAGAACAAGGACGUUAGUAACUGAACGUCCCCUGACGGUAUCUAACCAGAAAGCCACGGCUAACUACGUGCCAGCAGCCGCGGUAAUACGUAGGUGGCAAGCGUUGUCCGGAUUUAUUGGGCGUAAAGCGAGCGCAGGCGGUUUCUUAAGUCUGAUGUGAAAGCCCCCGGCUCAACCGGGGAGGGUCAUUGGAAACUGGGAGACUUGAGUGCAGAAGAGGAGAGUGGAAUUCCAUGUGUAGCGGUGAAAUGCGUAGAUAUAUGGAGGAACACCAGUGGCGAAGGCGGCUCUCUGGUCUGUAACUGACGCUGAGGCUCGAAAGCGUGGGGAGCAAACAGG